rnacentral:rRNA from 1 species
CCUACGGGCGGCAGCAGUGAGGAAUAUUGGUCAAUGGACGAGAGUCUGAACCAGCCCAGUAGCGUGAAGGAUGACUGCCCUAUGGGUUGUAAACUUCUUUUAUAUGGGAAUAAAACAGGGUAUGCAUACCCUCUUGUAUGUACCAUAUGAAUAAGAAUCGGCUAACUCCGUGCCAGCAGCCGCGGUAAUACGGAGGAUCAGAGCGUUAACCGGAUUUAUUGGGGUUAAAGGGAGCGUAGGGGUGUUGUUAAGUCAGUUGUGAAAGUCUGCGGCUCAACCGCAAAAUUGCAGUUGAAACUGGUAGUCUUGAGUACAGUAGAGGUGGGCGGAAUUCGUGGUGUAGCGGUGAAAUGCUUAGAUAUCACGAAGAACUCCGAUUGCGAAGGCAGUUCACUGGACUGCAACUGACACUGAGGCUCGAAAGUGUGGGUAGCAAACAGGAUUAGAUACCCUUGUAGUC